AGUAGGUCUUGGAAAUCCUUUUUUAGCUGUCAAGCCCAUGUACGCAUGUAAGUUUUGGGCUUACCUCAUUCCCAUUUCGACCGUUGUGUAGCUCAGUAAAUUUGUUGUUGUGUCUCAUAUUAUUUUUGUUCGGCUAGAAAAACGUGACUUGUACGAAUUAACCAUGUGCUGUGGACCUUGUGGAUCGUGCUGCGGACCCUGCGGAUAUAGCUGCGCUCCCUGCGGACCCUGCUGUGGACCGUGUGGACCAUGUUGUAGACCGUGUGGACCCUGCUGCGGACCUUGUGGACCGUGUUGCGGGCCAUUUGGAAGUUGCUGUGGAGGUUGUUGGUGCUGAAUGCCCAACAUGAGCAGUUGAAUCCAUUCAAGAUGCCAAUGCUAAUUCUAAUUCACGCACACUAUGGUUAACCCAACACCUAAAUGUCAAAGCCACAAAUAAAAUAUGAAGACUGUGCAACAGUAAAAAUAUCACAAA